rnacentral:rRNA from 1 species
AUUAAUUCGAUGCAACGCGAAGAACCUUACCUGGGCUUGAUAUACACCAGAUCGGCGCAGAGAUGCGUUUUCCCUUUGUGGUUGGUGUACAGGUGGUGCAUGGUUGUCGUCAGCUCGUGUCGUGAGAUGUUGGGUUAAGUCCCGCAACGAGCGCAACCCUUGUCUUAUGUUGCCAGCACGUGAUGGUGGGGACUCAUGAGAGACUGCCGGGGUUAACUCGGAGGAAGGUGGGGAUGGCGUCAAAUCAUCAUGCCCCUUAUGUCCAGGGCUUCACACAUGCUACAAUGGUCGGUACAACGCGUGUGCGACACUGUGAGGUGAAGCUAAUCGCUCUAAAGCCGGUCGUAGUUCGGAUUGGGGUCUGCAACUCGACCCCAUGAAGUCGGAGUCGCUAGUAAUCGCAGAUCAGCAACGCUGCGGUGAAUACGUUCCCGGGCCUU